GUUUUAGAAUAUUCUGGCCAAGCCAGGAUUUAGUUUCUUUUCUGAUACCAAAGUAACUACACGGGACAUGGCAACCACCAAGGGUCUUUGCAGCAGGAUGACUUCGCCUUUAUAUGAAGGACUUGGAAAUCACUGCUUUAAAAGGAACAUUAGAGAGGGAAGAACUGCUAAAGCUUUGAGGUCAUUACAAUUUACGAAUCCAGGAAGGCAAACUGAAUUUGCUCCAGAAACUG
rnacentral:lncRNA from 1 species